rnacentral:lncRNA from 1 species
CAGAGGAUUAUGUAAAACACUUACUCUGGCCAGAAUGACUCUAUGAGAUUCUGUGGAGACUCUGACCCACCCCACCCAACCCAUGCCACUCGCAGAGGCCUGCAAGGCAGUAGCACAUGAGGUUAACACUGAAAUGGAUGGAAAAGCGCUGGUGCAUUUACUUCCAGCUUCUGCAGUAUCUUGCACAGUAGGAAGUUUUAAUUUUCGUCCAGUGUAGAUGUGCGUCACUGGCACGCAGUGUGAAGAUGGGCAGCUUGGAAGAGUGGAGCAUAAAGCACAGAGGUGUGUUUGCAGAAUUCGUCCUGGGUCAUCACUAACUCCGGCUUCUGUCUGCUCUGCAGUGCCCGGCUGGGACUUCCCGGGCCAGCUCCAGAGGCCUGACUGCUGUGUCUGCGUGGGCCCCCAGGAUGCGUGCAGACAAAGAGAACACCUCUGGAGGACUAAAGUGUCUGUGCCAAAACAGGUCGUCCUCAGAAAGAGCCUGACUAGAGAAGACACAAGAGCACCUUGAGGAACCUUGCAGCUGGGUCCGCCUGCACAAGGUCUGAGGGAGCGCUGUUCUCCCAAAGCAUGUGGGAUGGACGAGGCUGGCUGCAUGUGCCCUGGGUCCGGGGAGCUCAGUAAUAGAAGGUGGGCGUCAGGCAGACAGAGCUUCGUGGGAGCUGAGGACCCCAGAGGCCCCCUGGAAUUUUACAGGUCAGCUCUGGAGGGUUAGUUACAGUGUAUUCAAACUAACUUACCACCUGGAUCUCUCCAGUGCUUGGGGAGCCUCAGCCAGCAAACCAUUCUCAGUCCCCAGCCCCAAACGACUGAAACACACAAAAACAAAAGACUAUCAAAUUGAGGGAAACACAGUUCAACUUCGUUUAGUAACGAAGAAAACUAAGUCUAAGUGGAAAAAAAAUGUGUCCGUGGGGGCCGGCCCCGUGGCCAAGCGGUUCAGUUCCAGUGCUCCGCUUGGGCGGCCCAGGGUUUGGAUCCUGGGUGUGGACAUGGCACCCCUCGUGAGGCCACGUUGAGGUGGCAUCCCACAUGCCACAGCUAGAAGGACCCAUAGCUAAAAUAUACAGCUAUGUACUGGGGGGAUUUGGGGAGAAAAAAAAACGAAGAUUGGCAACAGUUGUUAGCUCAGGUGCCAAUCUUUACAAAAAAAAAUGUAUCCAAAGUUACAAUUGAGAAAAGUGUGUAUUUGUGUGUGAUUCAGAGGAGAGAAAAACCAGGAGAGUGGAAUUAGGGGGGAGUCUGAGAUCAGCUCAACAAAAAGAGUGUUCUUACACUCAUUCAUUCAACAAACAUCUAGUGAACAUGACAGUGCCAAGCAUUGGGGAUGCAUGUGAGGCUGACCAGCGGGACUGCCCACAAUGGGCUACGACCCCAUUGCUAGAAGAAGAAGUGGAUAACUACCUCACGAGAACACUGUGGAGUUAAUUCCAGAUUUACAGGAGGGUUAAUUAGGCCAAAUCUCAGGCUCCUUGUGAAUCCGAGGUUUAGUGGAUGACAGUGUAAGUCUUAAGGGCUGUUUGUGCCUCUGCAGUACUGACAUAUCUCCAGUGUCAAAGGAGGGAAAAUAUCUUUCUCCUCUUUGCUCAACUCCCCAAAUUUACAAAGAGGGCUGUAAAUGUUUAUUACUCACGUGACUGUUAUGACAGGAAGGUGGAAGAGCUUUUUUACCAGGACCAGGAAAUCUCUGAUGUCUAACAUGGGUGAUUCUUAUAGCACCAGUGGCCACAGGCUGUGGUUGUCCAAUUCAGUGGGUACAAUGGUUGCAGAUAGUUGGGAAAACACAAUCGCUGCUUAGCUCUUAGUUGUUUGGAGGCAAUUAGAAGAUCCUGUACAAUCAUACUCAGCAAUGUCCUCCAGAAAGACUGAGAUAUUUUCGUUGCUCUCUUGAUUAAUUUCACACUCCAAAGCACACCAAACCAGCAUCAUUUAAGGUGCCUGAGUUGGAGAUGGCAUAUGUCACAAUCUGUUUCCACUAGACAAGUGUGGAGAAAAUUCUUGUUUGUAGCCCAGGGAUUUUCAGUAAAACAGCCUCCAGUCUGGAUUUUCUCACAUUUAUAGCAGGAGUGUAAAGCAAGAGGGUGAGAAAGGACUGGAACAUGAACCAGCUUGGACCCAGCAGAACUGAAAUGAUUUUUGUGGCCUCCAGUCCUCUGAUGACACUUCAACAUGAUCUUGCAUAUUUUUCCCCUCACCCUCAAUUCCUGGGAAAUUAACCUAUCUGACGGCAAAGAUAUGCAUCUCACUUUUUUUUUUGGUAUCCCAACCAUGUGGCUAUCAAUUUGCAGAUUUUCAGGUCUAGGAAAUCCAGUGGCAGUCAUCUCAUCAACUCAUUUUUGCUGUACACCUGCUAUGCUAGGCAAUGUGCUGGGCAGUUUGAAGCACAUAAAAAUGAAUUCCUCAUGGGCUCAGCCUUUGAAGAGCUGUCAGGGGUCGGCAUUAUAAGUCAUAAACCCAGGAGCGCAAACAAAAACAUUAACCGUGAGAAGCAGGCAAUUGAUAAAGAUCAAAGUUGGAAUUAAUGAUGUUAAAAUGGUAGAAAUGGUAAACAAAACUGAAGAUAACUUUUAUAAAAGACAAAUUAAAUAUGCAAAAGCUGGUUUUUUUAAAAGGUGAAUUAAAUAUACAAAUCCCUAAUAGAUGAUCAAGGAAAAGGAGGGAAAGCAAGAUUAACCACAGAUAUAUAAAAGAGAGAUGAAAAAUUAUAAGUAAUAUCAUGUGUAACUCAAUGACAUUAAAUAUGACAGGCAUAACAAAUCAAUGAUUUUCUAGAAAAAAUUUAAACCACCAAAAUUAACCCAAGAAGGAGCAGAAAACCAAAUAGAUCAAAAGUCACAAAAGAGGUGGUUAAAGCACUUUGAUAGCUUCUAUUAAAAAACAUCCAAGUGGAUUUUGAGAGGUGAUUUCUAAUUAUUCUUUUAAGAUUAUAUAUUACCAUCUCUGGUUUAAACUGUUCUAGACCAUAGAAAAAUUUGGAAAGUUCCA